rnacentral:rRNA from 1 species
GAUGAACGCUAGCUACAGGCUUAACACAUGCAAGUCGAGGGGCAGCACAGUGUAGCAAUACACGGGUGGCGACCGGCGCACGGGUGCGUAACGCGUAUCCAACCUUCCCGUUACUCAGGGAUAGCCUUCCGAAAGGGAGAUUAAUACCUGAUGGUGUUGAAAUUCCGCAUGUUAUUCAACUAAAGAUUUAUCGGUAACGGAUAGGGAUGCGUGACAUUAGAUAGUAGGCGGGGUAACGGCCCACCUAGUCUACGAUGUCUAGGGGUUCUGAGAGGAAGGUCCCCCACACUGGUACUGAGAUACGGACCAGACUCCUACGGGAGGCAGCAGUGAGGAAUAUUGGUCAAUGGUCGGAAGACUGAACCAGCCAUGCCGCGUGCAGGAAGAAUGUCUUAUGGAUUGUAAACUGCUUUUGUAUGGGGCUAAUAAUAACUUUGCGAAGUUAGAUGCAGGUACCAUACGAAUAAGGAUCGGCUAACUCCGUG